rnacentral:rRNA from 1 species
UACGAACGCCGGCGGCGUGCUUAACACAUGCAAGUCGAGCGGUAAGGCCCUUUCGGGGGUACACGAGCGGCGAACGGGUGAGUAACACGUGGGUGACCUGCCCUUAGCUCUGGGAUAAGCCUGGGAAACUGGGUCUAAUACCGGAUAUGACUCCAUGACGCAUGUUGUGGGGUGGAAAGCCUUGUGCGGCUGGGGAUGGGCCCGCGGCCUAUCAGCUUGUUGGUGGGUGAUGGCCUACCAAGGCGA